CCAGCCUCAUAGUCUGGGACAACAAUUGGAAACGAUUGCUAAUACCGGAUAUUCCCUACGGGGGAAAGAUUUAUCGCUAUGAGAUGGGCCUAUCUCCUAUCAGCUAGUUGGUAAGGUAAUGGCUUACCAAGGCAAUGACGGGUAGCUGGUCUUAGAGGACGAUCAGCCACACUGGAACUGAGACACGGUCCAGACUCCUACGGGAGGCAGCAGUGGGGAAUAUUGCACAAUGGGGGAAACCCUGAUGCANNNNCGCCGCGUGGAGGAUGACGCAUUUCGGUGUGUAAACUCCUUUUAUCAAGGAAGAAAUUUGACGGUACUUGAUGAAUAAGCACCGGCUAACU
rnacentral:rRNA from 1 species